rnacentral:lncRNA from 1 species
CAGGGCCGGCCCAACACCAAAUGAGGCCUAAAGCGAAUUUUAAUUUUGAGAGCCUUGAAACAUGUUUGAUCUAAUAUAAAAUUUUGUUAAUUUUAAUUUUGGAGGCCUUUUUUACUUAAGAAAAAAAAUCGGAGGCCUUUUUUACUUAAGAAAAAACAAAAAAAAAUUGGAGGCCUAAAGCCCUUGCUUGGGUGGCUUUAC